GUACGAAUACGAACCGUGAAA
rnacentral:snRNA from 1 species